AUUUAUUAAUCAAAACGAUGUGGAUUACAAUCUCCGUAAUUCCCCUGAUUCUUCUCUCCUAUUCUAAUUUUGAUUCAAGGGCUUAAAAGCUUGUUCUUGAAUCGAACAUAUGAUUUCCUAUCACGAACAUCUCGAAUUCAAAUAUGUUAUGAAUUCGAGGAAUCGAAUAUAUGAUUUCCUAUCACGAACAUCUCGAAUUCAAAUAUGUUAUGAAUUCGAGGCGGAGGCUCGAGACGUGAGCUUGAGAGCUCGAUAUGUGUCUUUGUGAGUCUGAUUUUUUAGAUGCACCAAAGAUCUUCUUUUAUAGGCACAAUCUAGGGUUAGGGUUUCUCGACUUGUAGAGUGGGCCAGACAUUUUAAAGCCCAAAUAUAUUAUGGACUUUAAUUUGAGACCUAAAUUAAUAACCGAUUUAUUUUGGUUAUUAAUUAGUAAUUUAUCUCAAAAUUUCGAUGUCUACAAAUGCCCCCACUUCUAGUCUCGGCGAAGAACAUGUCGAAUAUUUGUGAGACGAGACUUGAAGUACUCGAAUUUUCUUUCAUUUGUUGGCUUCAAAACUCUUGUCCUCCAUUUUUAUGGGUGUAUAUGGAAUUGCCAUCACUUUUGGGGACUUCAAUGAAAAGUUCCCUUUUUUUAUUGGAGGGUUGAAAUUUGAGGCAAAAGUGAUAUUUCUUUCUUUUCCACCUAGGGACCCAAUUGCAAUUUAAGACUUGAUUGGAGGAUUUGAUUUUUCUGCCCCGCCUUCUUUAUUCAGCCGACCAAAAUCUUCUUCUCCAUUUUCACUGCUACCAUUCCACCGCCGGGCGACAUAUUUUGGUUGCCAUCCGCCAUUGGAACACAACCUUUCACCAACUCUCGUUCCCUUCUCGUGGGUUUAACGAGAUUUGUAUUGAACUGCCAUUUAUGUAUAUCGUGACUGUGGCGACCAAGGACUGCAGCAAGGAGGAGCGGCAAUGGGUGAGAUUUGGCUCGUACGCAACCGUCUUUAUGUCUUCGAGAGAACAUGCGGCGCGGUCCUCCAGUCGAGGGUGAGUUUGAGGAGGCGGAUCUGAGCGGCCAACGGUUUGCGGCGGUGGGAACAUGAGAUAACACCGUCGAGUGCUUUACACGGUGAUGGCGUUUCCGGUCGGCGGCGAGGUUGAGGCGGCGGAGCGGAGUGCCAUGGUGGAGUGUUUUCCGCCUAUUGCCUUGUGUUUGUGGAACAAGACAUGGGCCAGCUGUUCGGUCGACGUGAGUUGAAGGUGGCUGACUGGACUUUGUACUGGCCGGCAAUUUAAAGCAGACUCUUAUUGCAGUAGCAUCCUCGAACAAACGCACUUCUCUCGCAGCGGCGGCAAAAGUGAUGACACCGGUGAGUGCUUCGGGCGACGAUUGGUAGUUCGCUGGUGCAAAUCUAUCUUUCGAGAGUUAUCAAUGGGAUCUCCGGUGGGAGGAGGUGCGACACUUCCGAUGGCGGAGACAUAUUUGGAUAUAUGGAGGUUGGAACGAGAUUACACCGACGGCUGCUUCUGGUGGCGAUGUGGCAUUUGUCGGCGAGCAUAUUCCGACGGCCUCCUCAAUUUGAUGUGGUGGAGAGAUUUAGUAACAGAGCCCAAUGGUCCAUGGCUGCAUUUGUUGAGGAUGGUGAACUCUGACAGAUAUGGGGAUGUUUGCCGUGGGUCCACCGUCGUAGCUUUGUUUGUUGCCGUGGCAUGUUCCUUUUUCUUUUGCUGAACUUUGCUAAUUGUUUAGGAAAUUUCCUUCAACAUAAAGAUUUGGUGGAUCCUUAAAUUGAGCACAAAUCCUCAGUUGCCAAUCAAGGAGAGAUCCGUAUUAGUUACCAUCUCAUAUUAAGGAAAAUAUCCUUUUGAAUUUGCCAAAUUUCCUUCUACUGUAAAGAGAAGUGAUUUGAAGCUAACCUCUCUCGUAAUGAAUUUGAGGUAUUUGAGUUUUGACUGAAUUUUGUGAAUUGUCUUGCCCCCAAAUGUUUGAUUUGACUACUGGUAACAACGACAAUAUCGAGGACAUGGAUAUCGGAGGAAGAGAUGAGGGGCGAAGAUUGUCCCACCGGGCGUGCCAAUUUGUAAACCACAAAUUUUCGAGUCUGCAAAAUAUAAUAAAAAUACAAGACAAUAAAUAGGGAACAAAUAAUUUAUUAAUCAAAACGAUGUGGAUUACAAUCUCCGUAAUUCCCCUGAUUCUUCUCUCCUAUUCUAAUUUUGAUUCAAGGGCUUAAAAGCUUGUUCUUGAAUCGAACAUAUGAUUUCCUAUCACGAACAUCUCGAAUUCAAAUAUGUUAUGAAUUCGAGGAAUCGAAUAUAUGAUUUCCUAUCACGAACAUCUCGAAUUCAAAUAUGUUAUGAAUUCGAGGCGGAGGCUCGAGACGUGAGCUUGAGAGCUCGAUAUGUGUCUUUGUGAGUCUGAUUUUUUAGAUGCACCAAAGAUCUUCUUUUAUAGGCACAAUCUAGGGUUAGGGUUUCUCGACUUGUAGAGUGGGCCAGACAUUUUAAAGCCCAAAUAUAUUAUGGACUUUAAUUUGAGACCUAAAUUAAUAACCGAUUUAUUUUGGUUAUUAAUUAGUAAUUUAUCUCAAAAUUUCGAUGUCUA
rnacentral:lncRNA from 1 species